rnacentral:misc_RNA from 1 species
CAUUGUGAGGCAGGCAGCAAAGAGCAUUGUCGCCAACGGGCUUGCACGUCGCUGCAUUGUGCAGGUGUCAUACGCGAUUGGUGUGCCAGAGCCUUUGUCGGUGUUUGUUGACACUUAUGGGACCGGGAAGAUCCCGGACAGGGAGAUAUUGAAGUUGGUGAAAGAGAACUUCGAUUUCAGGCCGGGCAUGAUGAUCAUCGACCUUGACUUGAAGAGAGGAGGAAAUGGGAGGUUCCAGAAGACGGCAGCGUAUGGACAUUUUGGUAGGGAUGAUCCCGACUUCACCUGGGAGGUGGUGAAGCCCCUCAAGUGGGAGAAGCCAUCAGCAUAAAGAUGCUGAUUCAAUUCGACUAUCUACCAUGGUUAUUUACUGAACUUAUUUGUUCUGAAUUCAUACUGAGAGUGUUUCGGAGGUGUUUCUAUUUUUAGUGAUGGCAUUGUUUUGUUGAGCUGGUGAGAAUAAGGAGAGGAGUCCAAGAUAGUAUGUGUUCUGUAAUUUUAUUUGAGGAGGUGUGCUGAUAUAGGGUUUUAGAGCUCUAUGCUAU